CUCCAGGGAACAUCUGGGAGGGGAGCAGCAUGAGCAUCUGGACCAGGAGGCAGGAGACACAGGCUGAGUUGCUGCCAAGCUGGUCCAAAGACAGGAACCACAUUAAUAAGCCUGAAACACUCCAUUCUAUCAAGAGUGACACCGAACAGGGAGGUUAGCCUCCUGGAGGAUAAGAUCAUGUCAAGAGAGAUUCUAGCCAUCCCUGCUGUUCCAGACAUCCCAGCUGAGGCCCUGCACAUGUGAGUGAGGCCAGCCCAGACCAGAAGAACUAUCCACCCAACCUACAGACUGCACCCCUAACUGCUGGGGAACAUUUAGUGCUCCUGACAAGAACUGCAUGGUCGGAUACACCAGGAAAUGCUGUACAUGCAAGAGCACAUCCAGAAGCAGCGGCCUUGAAAAGUCCUGCGGUACACAAACUUGGAACUCUUUCCAAACUUACUUGGCAGUGCAGUUCUUUGUUCACACGGCAUCUUUUCUCACACAGAGUAGUACUCUGAAACACACAAGCUGCAAAUUCCGCACCAGACCCUGCUAUAAACUCUCCAGAACAUAGAGAAGGAGAAUCCUCAGUGAGAACAGUACCUUCCGUUUAUUGAGCUGACUGUGCACCAGGAGCGUUCCACUGCAUCACCUCACAUAAUCCUGCACACGGCCACAUGGGCCAUGAUUAUUAUGCCCAUUUUACAGAUGAGGAAGCUGUGAGGCAGAGGGAGACCCUUGUAUCGAGUCACAGACGACAGUGAUGUUGGAGCUAGCAUUGGAGAGAAUGGUGCAGAGAGCCUUACUUUUCUGCUUUUACCCAGCGAGAGCUUGAGUUUCCCUCAUUGAAAACUCCCAUGGGAGCUGUAGACAAGGCUGUGGGCAGGGAGAUGGGGUAGAGUAGUUGCCCCACCCUCCAAUGACAGAGGGUUCCCCCAAAGCCAGUGUAGACUGGAGGGGGCACCGGAGAGCUCAGGGCCGGCCUUGGCACUGGCAGUGAAUCACUGAGCGACCUUGGGUAUGACCAUCACCACCUACUGUGCUUCCGAGAAAAAACAAUAAC